rnacentral:tRNA from 1 species
GGGCACGUAGCUCAGUGGGAGAGCACUUCGGUGACAUCGAAGGGGUCGUAGGUUCAAUCCCUACCGUGCCCACCA